UAGUAAAUUAUUAAAGGUACAUUCUGCCCUAUGAUUAUUUAAAUGGCUGCAGUAUUCUGACUGUGCAAAGGUAGCAUAAUAAUUAGUCUUUUAAUUGAAGGCUGGUAUGAAUGAAUAUAUGAGGUAUUUAUUUUAUUAUUUUUAUUAUUAAAAUUUGAUUUUUAAGUAAGAAAGCUUAAUUUUUUUUUUGGGACGAUAAGACCCUAUAGAACUUUAGUUUUAUUAAUUUUUAAUUUAUUUUGGAUUUAAUAAUUUUUUUAAUUUUAUUAAUAUUUUUUUUGGGGCGAAUAAUAAAUUUGACUUUAUUUUUUUGUAUCAUUUUAUAUAUGUAAUGUUGAUCCAUAAUUGAUUAAAAGAUUAAGUUACCUUAGGGAUAACAGCGUUAUUUUAAUGGGGAGUUCAUAUCUAUAUUAAAGUUUGCGACCUCGAUGUUGAAUUAAGGUUAGAUUGGGGGGUAG
rnacentral:rRNA from 1 species